rnacentral:lncRNA from 1 species
ACAAUUACCUCAUUUUUCAUUUUUACAAUUAUGAAAAAGAUAAAAAAAAAAGAAACCCAUCUCAAAAAAAGAUAUACUCACGUAGUAGUCUCCUAGCCAUCUAGGUCAACGUACUUUUGGCUAGGUUCAAAGGGCUAUAGAUCUAGCAUUCAAAGGAGAUGGGUCGAUGGCGAACAAGUUGGGUUUAACAACGGAAAGGUUGGGUCGACGAUGGAUCACAUCUAGGUAAUGGUCUAUCAACAAUGUAAGGCCUUGUGAGUGUGGCUCGAGAGGCUUUGGGUAGGUGGAGAGAGAGAAGAGAGAGAAAGUAAAAGGGGGAAAUAGGGGGUGUCACAACCAAGUACUCGCCUCGAGCUUGUGACAACCGUCGCGACGUCCCGAUAGACAUUCAUUGACCGGAAUGCCAACCGAAACCUCGCAAGGCUUUAAUAUCAAUUUUCGUAACUCUCCUGUGAGCAACAGUUGUUAAAUAUCAUGUUUUGAGAGAUUAUAAACUAUUUCCAAAUCAAAACAAUAUAAAAAUAAUUUUUUUCUCACAAGGGCAUUUUGGUCAUUUUUUCUCAAAAAUCUCGAAACCAACUAAAAAUGUAGUAUGCGAGUGGAAAACACAUAUUUCAUAAUCAAAAUAAAUUUAGAUGUCUAAAAAAUUCAUUUAAAGUGAAACUAUAACUAUUUAAAUAUAAUAAAAAUAUUCAAUAAAUAUUCUAUUUUCUUAUAAAAUAAUAUUUAUAGAGUUACCAAUAAAUAAUUUUCGUAGCGUAAAAGCUAAAUAAAUUCAUACAUACUGUAAUACAGAUAACCUAAGCAUAAGAUUUAAUUUACAGUGACACAUGGGCCCGCGAACUACCAAAAGUAUCAAAAGCGGUAAACCUACAGUUUUUGAGGAUGCAAGUCCAACUGUAGCCCUCAACGAAAUGAGCUAUCUACCGACUAUCUUGAGCCUGAAAUGGGUGGAAAGGAGGGUGGUAAGAUUAUAUAAUCCCCGUGAGUAAACAAAUACCAUCUAAAAUAUCUAAAGCUUAGUGAAUGGAGACAGAUAAAAUAGUUUAACAUAAAAAUGAUUCACAGCAUUUCGAACUCAUUUUAAUAAGAUAAAAUAGAUUCAUUUCACCCAAAUAAACAACAAGGCUUAUGAUUUCUUGAAAAGUUUGACUCGUGCCAAAAUCAUUCUCAUACUCAAUUAUUAGGGAUACCUUGGCCGAGAGCUAUCUCAACCGAGUCUGCCAAGGCUGUUAAAAAGUCAUGUACGCAUAAAUCAUGUUUUUAUUUUGAAAACAUAGCUGUUCCUUGGCGUUGGCUGAGUUCACUCUCACGUGGUGGUUUGGCGUGACGUGAACUCUAAAGUUGUACCUCGAGAGUUACCCUACGAGCCUCCCCAAUCGAGGUAAGAAUAUAACAAGAUUUUGUGCCCCUCAAAAAGGUUGGUCCACAGAACUCGCCCACUACAGCAAGCUAAACCCACCAUACAAUAAACUUUGCGAUAGCAUGACAUGGCAAUUAUUUUAUUUUACAGCCUCUCAAGGCAAAUCAACAGUUCAUACAUUUUCAGUACAUUUACCAAUUCAACCAUUCAUGCCAAUAUUAUCAUAAGCCAUUCAAUUCAAACCAUGAUUUAUAACACAGUAAUUAGUCUCCAAUUACUCCAUUUUCAAAACAAUCUUUCAAUUUCAAGAUAAUUUUAUAAAAUCAUUUCAUUUAAUCACAUUUUGCUUAUAAAACAUAAAGAUUUACCAUUUAAACUCAUUUUUCAUAAAAUUCACAAAAACGAAUAAAAACUACUUUAGAUAAUUAAGACGAUAUUAAGGUUAUUCACUAUUUUUGGAGUCGAAUUCUGAGUACUUCGAUUCUUGAUCCUCGAGUACUAUCUCUUUACUUUUGCCAGAAAACUCACCACCUAGACAUAAUGCACAAUAAACCAUUUACUACAUUUGUGCUAAAUCGUUGUAAAUCCAAUUCAGGUUUUAUACUAAUGCAUGAAAUGGGAUGUGAAAUACUUGGGUAACUAUCUAAAUACAAUGUUCAAUAUAAAUUCAAUUAUGUACCUAAAUAAAAUGGUAUUGGCCUAAUUCGAUCUAUCAUCCGAUUAAUUGGCCAAUACGUCCAAUUCAACUCCAAAUAAUUCCAUUUUUCUCCCAAUACUCCAAAUCAUCAAACACAAAUUAAAUAACUUAAAAUAUGGCAAAAAUCAUCCUCACAUUUUCUCUUGGAAAAUUCGACCAUGGAGGGUUCACUAACAAUAUAAUUUUUCAAGCUUGAUUCUCUCACCAUAAAUCACUAAUUCCUAACCAAAUCACUUGAAAUAAAAUCAAAAUCAUCAUCAAUAUUCCACAUGGAGAAUUCGGCCAAUGAUGGGUGAUGGGAAGAAGUGAAUUUUUCUUGUUGGCUUUUCAUGCUGCACAUCACCAAUAAACUAAAAACACUAGAAUAUCUUAAAAUCUAACCAAAACAACCAUCAAAAUCUCUCUCUAAGUGUUCGUCCAGCAAGAGACCCAUCAUGAAAUCAUGUGAUUCAACCAUGGAAAAUGCAAAAGAAUGUAUGGGAAAGGUAGAUCACAAGUCAAAAUCAAUAAAUUUUACCUUUGAUUGCUUGAUUACAUGAAAUCCACCAAUUUUCUCUUGAAUUUUCACUCUAGGGUUUUUGUUCUUUCUUUUCUUCCUCUAUUCUUGCUUUGGCC